CAGAACGAACGCUGGCGGCAUGCCUAACACAUGCAAGUCGAACGAGACCCCUGACUUCGGUUGGCGGGUCUAGUGGCGCACGGGUGCGUAACGCGUGGGAAUCUGCCCUUGGGUUCGGAAUAACUCAGAGAAAUUUGAGCUAAUACCGGAUGAUGACGAAAGUCCAAAGAUUUAUCGCCCAGGGAUGAGCCCGCGUAAGAUUAGCUUGUUGGUGGGGUAAUGGCCUACCAAGGCGACGAUCUUUAGCUGGUCUGAGAGGAUGAUCAGCCACACUGGGACUGAGGCACGGCCCAGACUCCUACGGGAGGCAGCAGUGGGGAAUAUUGGACAAUGGGCGCAAGCCUGAUCCAGCAAUGCCGCGUGAGUGAUGAAGGCCUUAGGGUUGUAAAGCUCUUUUACCAGGGAUGAUAAUGACAGUACCUGGAGAAUAAGCUCCGGCUAACUCCGUG
rnacentral:rRNA from 1 species